rnacentral:rRNA from 1 species
AACACGUGAGUAACCUGCCCUUGACUCUGGGAUAAGCCUGGGAAACUGGGUCUAAUACCGGAUAUGACUCCUCAUCGCAUGGUGGGGGGUGGAAAGCUUUUGUGGUUUUGGAUGGACUCGCGGCCUAUCAGCUUGUUGGUGGGGUAAUGGCCUACCAAGGCGACGACGGGUAGCCGGCCUGAGAGGGUGACCGGCCACACUGGGACUGAGACACGGCCCAGACUCCUACGGGAGGCAGCAGUGGGGAAUAUUGCACAAUGGGCGCAAGCCUGAUGCAGCGACGCCGCGUGAGGGAUGACGGCCUUCGGGUUGUAAACCUCUUUCAGUAGGGAAGAAGCGUAAGUGACGGUACCUGCAGAAGAAGCGCCGGCUAACUACGUGCCAGCAGCCGCGGUAAUACGUAGGGCGCAAGCGUUAUCCGGAAUUAUUGGGCGUAAAGAGCUCGUAGGCGGUUUGUCGCGUCUGCUGUGAAAGACCGGGGCUCAACUCC